AUUGAACGCUGGCGGCAUGCCUAACACAUGCAAGUCGAACGAGUGGCGGACGGGUGAGUAAUGUCUCGGAAACUGCCUGAUGGCGGGGGCUAACUACUGGAAACGGUAGCUAAUACCGCAUACCAUCGGAUCUGCCCAGAUGGGAUUAGCUAGUAGGUGGGGUAAAGGCUCACCUAGGCGACGAUCCCUAGCGGGUCUGAGGGGAGGACCAGCCACACUGGGACUGAGACACGGUCCAGACUCCUACGGGAGGCAGCAGUGGGGAAUAUUGCACAAUGGGGGAAAGCCUGAUACAGCCAUGCCGCGUGUAUGAAGAAGGCCUUCGGGUUGUAAAGUACUUUUAGCGGGGAGGCGUUACCCGCAGAAGAAGCACCGGCUAACUACGUGCCAGCAGCCGCGGUAAUAC
rnacentral:rRNA from 1 species